CACCGAGUCCGCGGCUCCGGUCGUCACCGGAGCCAGGUGCAAAAGGGA
rnacentral:sRNA from 20 species